rnacentral:rRNA from 1 species
AUUCCAGCUCCAAUAGCGUAUAUUAAAGUUGUUGCAGUUAAAAAGCUCGUAUUUGAAUUUUUGUCUGUUGGGGCCUUGUUCUGUCCUUAGUGGCGGAGUUUAGUGUCCCGACGGACUUCCUGGGGGCCAACUAGUUGGUGUUUCAUUACACUGAUUAGGGAACCCCCUCGUUUACUGUGAAAAAAUUAGAGUGUUUCAAGCAGGCGUUUCGCAUUGAAUACAUUAGCAUGGAAUAAUAAGAUAGGACUUUGGUGCUAUUUUGUUGGUUUGCACACCAAGGUAAUGAUUAAGAGGGACAGUUGGGGGUAUUCGUAUUAUCAUGUCAGAGGUGAAAUUCUUGGAUUUUGGUAAGACGAACUACUGCGAAAGCAUUUGCCAAGGAUGUUUUCAUUG